rnacentral:rRNA from 1 species
GACGAACGCUGGCGGCGUGCCUAAUACAUGCAAGUCGAACGCUGAAGAGAGGAGCUUGCUCUUCUUGGAUGAGUUGCGAACGGGUGAGUAACGCGUAGGUAACCUGCUUUGUAGCGGGGGAUAACUAUUGGAAACGAUAGCUAAUACCGCAUAACAAUGGAUGACACAUGUCAUUUAUUUGAAAGGGGCAAUUGCUCCACUACAAGAUGGACCUGCGUUGUAUUAGCUAGUAGGUGAGGUAAUGGCUCACCUAGGCGACGAUACAUAGCCGACCUGAGAGGGUGAUCGGCCACACUGGGACUGAGACACGGCCCAGACUCCUACGGGAGGCAGCAGUAGGGAAUCUUCGGCAAUGGGGGCAACCCUGACCGAGAAACGCCGCGUGAGGGAAGAAGGGUGUCGGAUCGUAAAGCUCGGUUGUAAGUCAAGAACGGGUGUGAGAGUGGAAAGUUCACACUGUGACGGUAGCUUGCCAGAAAGGGACGGCUAACUACGUG